rnacentral:rRNA from 1 species
GACAGAGGGUGCAAACGUUUGUUCGGAAUUACUGGGCGUAAAGCGAGUGUAGGCGGUCUUGAAAGUCGGAUGUGAAAGCCCUGGGCUCAACCCAGGAAGUGCAUUCGAUACUCCAAGGCUAGAGUACUGGAGAGGUGGGUGGAAUUCUCGGUGUAGAGGUGAAAUUCGUAGAUAUCGAGAGGAACACCUGCGGCGAAGGCGGGUUGCUGGGCUGAUACUGACGCUGAGGCGCGAAAGCCAGGGGAGCGAACGGG